AUGCUACUUGUCACAACUCGAUUCCCGAAGCUAGCACAAAUGAUGGAAACUGUUGGUUUUGGUUCACUACAACUGGCAGGUUUGGAGUCUGAUGACUUCUUCACAUUCUUUGAAGCAUGUAUAUUUGGUGAAGAAGAAAAGCCCGAGCAUUACAAAGAGGAGUUUGCUGUUAUUGCACGAAAAAUUGCAAACAAGCUAAAGGGUUCCCCGCUAGCAGCCAAAACAGUUGGUAGGCUAUUGCAUAAGCACCUUUCUCAGGAACAUUGGAAUGGAGUUCUUGAAAAGGAUGAGUGGCUAAAGCAGCAAGAUAAUGAUGAUAUCAUGCCAUCUUUAAAGAUCAGCUACGACUGCCUCCCUUUUUAUCUGAAGAAAUGCUUUUCCUAUUGUGGCCUUUUCCCUGAAGACCAUGAGUUUACUUCUUCAGAAAUCAAUCAUUUCUGGGUUUCAAUUGGCAUCAUAGACUCCAAUCACCAAGCCGAUAGGAAUUACUUGGAAGAGCUAGUGGACAAUGGUUUUCUCAUGAAGAAGAAAGGGUGUCAUUGGGAUGAUCGAUACCAACAACUGAAGGAAUUUGAUUGCUAUGUAAUGCAUGAUUUGAUGCAUGAGCUAUCUAAGAUUGUUUCUGCACAAGAUUGCCUCAAUAUAAGUAGCUUAGAUUUCAGAGCUGAUGCCAUCCCACAAUCUAUUCGCCACUUAUCCAUCAACAUAGAAGACAAAUAUGAUGCAAAUUUUGAGGAAGAAAUGUGUAACCUAAGGGAGAGGAUAGACAUUGCUAAUCUGUGGACUUUGAUGAUAUUUAGAGGAUGUGAAGAAGAAAGAAUCGCCAAGAUUUUGAAAGAUUGCUUCAAGGAAAUAAAUAGUCUGGUGUCCUAUUUAUAG
rnacentral:rRNA from 1 species